rnacentral:rRNA from 1 species
CCCUUAGAUGUUCUGGGCCGCACGCGCGCUACACUGAUGAAUGCAACGAGCUUAUAACCUUGGCCGAAAGGUCUGGGUAAUCUCCAAAUUUCGUCGUGAUGGGGAUAGAUUAUUGCAAUUAUUAAUCUUCAACGAGGAAUGCCUAGUAAGCGCAAGUCAUCAGCUUGCGUUGAUUACGUCCCUGCCCUUUGUACACACCGCCCGUCGCUCCUACCGAUUGAAUGGUCCGGUGAAGCGUUCGGACCGUGGCCUUUGGACGGUUCGCCGUCUGUUGGCUGCGGGAAGUUCGUUAAACCUUAUCAUUUAGAGGAAGGAGAAGUCGUANCA